GGGGGUGCUCGGUUUCGACAGGGAGCCGAUAUCCUCAAAUGCAUGUCAAGGCUGUCUGAGCCCUUGUAAAAACUCAGGCAAAAAAGUAAACGCUAACGACGAAUUAGCUCUCGCUGCUUAGUUCAGCGACGCUCCUGUGGACUGUCCGCCCAUGACGGGCUGUGGGGGUGUCAACUAAUAUGGGCUGGUAUCUGUUUUGCUCUGUGGCAGGUAUAAGACUUUAAGAGCUUUCCCCAAACUUACUUUGUCUGUGGAGGUGGGCGGGGGAGAUUUUAAACACAGACUAAGCAUGUAGUAUUUGUGGACGUAAGCUUUUUGGACAGGGGUUCGAUUCCCCUCACCUCCAUAA
rnacentral:tmRNA from 1 species